ensembl:lncRNA novel transcript
GCCUCUCCCACACCCCGCCGACAGUCCCGCCUCUCCCCGACGCUUCCGCCGGCGGCCCAGUCCCUUGCCCUGGGACCCCAGCCUGUAGUGUUUGGAGACCCCGGCUCCUCUUCUAUUUCUCUUGAUCUGGGGUCCGGCUGGCGAUAGUGUCCGCGGUGCGCCCCUUUCUCUUGGUCGUUUAUGACCUCCACGUCGUCUUUUCUUCAGCGCGAAAGCUCACCAGUUGACGGGAUGCUUGGGGAUUUGCAACCGCCUCAUCGCUGCCCCCUACCGGCGCAUAUUCAAAACGUCUCUGCGAAAAGCUGUUAUUACCUUCGGAGCCAACAGGGGCUGCUCGUUUACCCACAGACAGUCGGAAAAAAAUGGCCGCCGGAUCACAGAGAGCAAAAAGUACGUUCUCUUAAAGAAUUUCCAAGUUCUUCCCGCGGCCGUUCAGGAUGCUGCUUGCAGUUACCAACAUUAUUCCCCUGCACUGAGCUGACCUGAGCUUCCCUGCCUACCUCCUGUCACGGAUGUCACCUUCUUUCACCCCUGUCCUGUCAAGGUUUUUGCUUUAGAAUGCUAUAGACCAAAGACGGGCUAAUCAACAGUCUUACACACAAAUCCUUUCGUUCUACUUGGCUACAGGCAGGGCUAAUCUUCCGAAGAGGAAUCCCACUACUGCCUCCUUAUAAGGGAAAAACUCCUCUCAGAGGAACCCAGAACGCCCUGUGAUGACAGAGGUGAGGGGCCAGCGUGGCAGAAUGCACCACCCUGUCUCCUCGCUUGCUUCUCUCUCCGUCGGAUUGCCAAAAAGGGAACGGCACCUAGACGCCGAAAAGUAACUGAAGCAAAGGGAGUUUAAAGAACGCGCCCAGCCGCCUGGGUCUUGAACCCAGUGUUAAUGAGAGCAAAAACCUCUGCAUCCUCCACUGAGCUGUCCUUGAGCAUGUCUCAUAAUCAUGCUUCAUUUUAAAAACAGAAAUAAGUGAGUAAGCUAUGAAAGAAGACAACCUUUAAAUUUUUCAAAAGUUCUUGGUGGUCUGUGAUUAGAAAUUUCAUCUAUAUGAAAUAACUGUUUUGGAGGGCUUACUGUUAAAUUCAGGCAUUUUAGGGCCAGUGGAAACUGGUUAAGCAUUCACAUCAGUCUUAACAUUAAUCUGAUAAUCUACUGGGAGUUUAAAGACUCUAAGCACUAAACACAGAUUUUCCUCACUGUCUAUAAAAUGAAAGAGGAAAGAAGCAUUGUACUAAAUUUUUUAUAAAGCUAAUUGUAUUCCCUUUUUUUUUUUUGAGGUAGUUCAUUGCAUUUUGAACAAGGAUAACUGUCAGAAAAGAUCCUCUUUGAAUAAAACAGGUAUCUCCCCCA